CGGACGCCCCAGGAGGAGGGGCGAAGGCUGGGACCUCGUCGGCAGCGCGGAUCGUCCGGGCAGCCACCGUCAGUGCGGUUGCCCCAGGACUGGUUCUGCGGAGGUCAGCAGUACUCGAGGGGCAGUUUUUCCUUGGUGAGAUGAUGCUCCUGCCUAGGGAAGCCCUCUUUUCCCCCAGGAGGCGACUGCCGACACUUAAGAGGGCAUCCGUCCUCUUAAGCAUGCUGUCCCUUGGGGUGGUUUCAGUCCCUUGUCAAAGAUUCUGACCAACCACGUCAGUAGUUCCUGGAGUCCACGGUAACUGAAGAAGAAGGUGGCUCAGAAGAGAGAGAAAAGGCAAAUGGAGUUGGUUAGGAGAAAGGUCUCAAGACAAUUCUAAGUGCGAAUCCUUCAAAACUUUCCCCUAGAGAAUGUAUAUCUGUAUGUAAUAGGAAUUACAUGAUACAUGUUGUUAAAUACAUAUAUAUUGUUCUGCAUCUCCUUUAAAAUUCUUUUAUGUAAAUUUUCAUCAGUGUCAAUAUUUACAGGUAUAGGAUUCUGUAGAAGGAAUGUACCAUAAUUUAAUCAUUUCUCUGCUUCACAACAUUUAAGUUGAAUGCUGCACAUUCACAUUUGGAAUUUUUAAACAUAAUACCAAUAUACUCCAUGCAGGUUGUACUAUUUUAAUUUCUCUGAGCAUCUUUUAAUAUAUUUUUAAAGAUAUUUUAGUUGUAGAUGGACACAGUACCUUUUUAUUUAUUUAUUUUUAAUGUGGUGCUGAGUAUUGAACCCAGAACCUCACACAUGCUAGGUGAGCGCUGUACCACUGAGCCACAACCCCAGCCCUCUGAGUAUCUUUUUAUUUAUUAGCCACUCGGAUUUCUGUAAAUUGCCUCUUAAUAUAAUUUGCCCAUUUCCUUCCCUUCUUAUUUCUCAUAUAAGAAGGUCUUCAAAAUAUGAGAUAUCUAGGUCUGAGGACAUUUUUGUCUUUUGAGAAUAAACUACAAUUUUUCAAGUA